rnacentral:rRNA from 1 species
UACGUAGGGCGCAAGCGUUGUCCGGAAUUAUUGGGCGUAAAGAGCUCGUAGGCGGCCAGUUGCGUCUGCUGUGAAAUCCCGGGGCUCAACCCCGGGCGUGCAGUGGAUACGGGCUGGCUAGAGGCAGGCAGGGGAGAACGGAAUUCCCGGUGUAGCGGUGAAAUGCGCAGAUAUCGGGAGGAACACCGGUGGCGAAGGCGGUUCUCUGGGCCUGUACUGACGCUGAGGUGCGAAAGCGUGGGGAGCAAACAGG